GACGAACGCUGGCGGCAUGCCUAAUACAUGCAAGUCGAACGCUUUUGUUUCACCGGGUGCUUGCACCCACCGAGACAAAAGAGUGGCGGACGGGUGAGUAACACGUGGGUAACCUGCCCAUAAGAGGGGGAUAACAUCCGGAAACGGAUGCUAAUACCGCAUAUUUCCAAUUGUCUCCUGACAGAUGGAAAAAAGGUGGCUUCGGCUACCGCUUAUGGAUGGACCCGCGGCCUAUCAGCUUGUUGGUGGGGUAAUGGCCUACCAAGGCGACGACGGGUAGCCGGCCUGAGAGGGUGAUCGGCCACACUGGGACUGAGACACGGCCCAG
rnacentral:rRNA from 1 species